UACGGAGGGUGCAAGCGUUGUCCGGAAUCACUGGGCGUAAAGGGCGCGUAGGCGGCUCAUGAAGGCUGUGGUGAGAGUCCGGGGCUCAACCUCGGAUCGGCCGUGGCGACUCGUGGGCUGGAGCACUGUAGAGGCGGGUGGAAUUCCGGGUGUAGCGGUGGAAUGCGUAGAGAUCGGAAGGAACACCAGUGGCGAAAGCGGCUUCCUGGUCCAGCACCGACGUUCAGGCACGAAAGCGUGGGGAGCAAACAGG
rnacentral:rRNA from 1 species